rnacentral:rRNA from 1 species
ACCAGACUCCUACGGGAGGCAGCAGUGAGGAAUAUUGGUCAAUGGGCGAGAGCCUGAACCAGCCAAGUCGCGUGAGGAAGUACUGCCCUAUGGGUUGUAAACCUCUUUUGUCGGGGAGCAAAAGCCGGACGUGUCCGGCUGUGAGAGUACCCGAAGAAAAAGCAUCGGCUAACUCCGUGCCAGCAGCCGCGGUAAUACGGAGGAUGCGAGCGUUAUCCGGAUUUAUUGGGUUUAAAGGGUGCGUAGGCGGGCAUUUAAGCCGGCGGUCAAAUGUCGGGGCUCAACCCCGGCCUGCCGUCGGAACUGGGUGCCUUGAGUGGGCGAGAAGUAUGCGGAAUGCGUGGUGUAGCGGUGAAAUGCAUAGAUAUCACGCAGAACCCCGAUUGCGAAGGCAGCAUACCGGCGGCGAUCUGACGCUGAGGCACGAAAGCGUGGGUAUCGAACAGGAUUAGAUACCCCCGUA